GUGCAAUCACUCAAAAAAAAAAAAAAAAAAAGAAAAAACAGAAAUCAAAUUCAUUUAAAAUCCUCCAAGAAAAUUACCGGUUCAUGAUAAAAAAAAAAAAAAUCACCCCAUAUAUGCGUACAGGCGUGCCUAUAUCGAAAUGCCGUAAAAGUUCUUACUUUUUAAAUGAGUCUUGCGUUUAUCUCUUGUUCUCGGUGUAUAAAUAAAUAAAAAUACGUUCAUAAAACCCGACGACCGACGAGCCAUGUUAUAUUAUUACAAAACUAUGACGAAAGGGCGCGAGAAACGUAGUUGUCUUGAGAGUCAUGAGAUUUCGUUACAAAUAACGGUAACAGUAAUUUAUCGUAGAGACAGAGAGAGAGAGAGAGAGAGAGAGAGACAUAGAGGGAGAGAGAGAAAGAGAGAGAGAGAGAGAUAAAUGAUGAAAUUAUCGCGUACAUAUACCAGCAAUAUUGAAAAAUGACGAAGGCGACGACGGUUAGAUUACCGAGCAAAGAUUUCCAUUUUGUCCUAUAAUAACCCACCCCUCUGUGAUAUUAUAUAAAAUAAGGUUAGCAUCAUGUGCUGCAGCAAGUGCAGUUAACCCGGGCUUACCUUACCCCGC